rnacentral:lncRNA from 1 species
CUCGCUUGUCCAGGUAAGUAACACUAAUUAUAGUACAGUAAAUAAAGUAGUUUAAGAUCUCAGCAACAUUAUUUCUGUUUGGAUCAAGCAAACAAACUGUUGUUAAUGCUGAAAAUAUGUUUUGUACUUCUUGUAUUAAAAACCUAUUAAAAAAAAAGACGAACUCUUGUAAGACUUCUGAAAAAUUGUUCUUUAGACUUCUUAAGAUCAGAAUUGCAGUAAACACACAGUGGUGUGGAUAAGAUGUUUGAUUCAUAAUCACACAGUUUAAGAGGUUGUUUGUUCUCUUACAUGGCAUCUUAAAUUAGAGGUUUCAAAUUUUGGUGCAAGGCUAGUAAAUUUUAGAGGGUAAGUGGGUAAGUCAAUUACACUGACCCCAGCACUUGACAGGUACUUUAUUUUAUCAAUCCCGAAAAAAAUGAAAGGCAAAGUCAACUUCAGUGGAAUUUGAACACAAAGCAUAAGAAGCCAGAAGCAAUGCCAUUAAGCAAUUUAUCUGAUGCUUUAACAAUUCUACAAGCUUGUCAAAGAGAACAGUGAAAAUAAGAGUCAAAGUGAACAAAUUUCAGUGCACACAUUCACAUACACACAUCAAUUUAUGCUUGUUGAUUACAAUAAUUUGACAUCAAUAUCCAUUGCUUCUACGAAAUUCAGACAAAAAAAAAGUUGUUUGUAUUUUCAUCAGAUGCACUACUAUUAAAGGAGGUUUAUAAUCAAUAUGGUAUUGCAUAGAGAGGUUUUGAUUUGUACAGACUUGCAAGUCCAAUGUAUUAAACAAUCCAAUGUUAUUAUUGACUGAUAAGGUAAAGGAGAGUCAUCUGAGAGAGAGAGAGGGCAGAGGGAGGGAGAAAAGUGAGAAAGAGAGAGAGAGAGAGAGAGAGAGAGAGAGAGCAUAAAGCUAUAUAUUUUAGGAAGGGACUGGGGUGUGUUUUGUCACACUCAGGCUUUUCUCUAAGUUAUAUAAAACAUACCUGAUGAAGAAUGCCUAAAUAAGGAAUUGAAACUGAAGCAGAAAUAACAGUGAAGGAGCUCACUUAUUCCUAUUUUCACAUCAUUUGUUAUAAAUGAAAUCUAGAAAUAUUUUACAUAAACCAGAACUGAAUGGAUAUUAUUAUUAUUUUUUUUUUCCAGUGGUAACACUAACUUUCAAUGGAAGUAAAAUAUGAAUUUGUCAAAAUAUGCCAUUAGUUUUCUAUAAACAAAUUGCAGAUGUCAGACUACAUACACACACACAUGAAAAAUAAAUAUAUACAGUAUUAAAAAUAUGUAUUUGAUAUAUUUGGUAUGUAGAAAUUAUUCCUCUAUUUAGGUUAAAAGAUAGAAAAAAAUUAUGAGUUGUAAUGUCAUUAGAAUACCAGCCUGGACAAAGGGUCAAUGUUACACACCCCAACCAAGACCAAUCACCACAGCUGCUAGCACUGAAUCCAUGAGAAAACACUUGAAUUUCAAUAGACUAUAAGACAGACAUUUUCUUCUUUGGCCAAGCCCUCAUCUUUUCAAGUUUCACUUAUAAGGGAAAAUAAGGGUUAAGAGGAACAUGCUACCCUCUCCUCUUCACCUCAGUAAAUUUGUUGAAAGAUGAAUGAGAAUGUAAACAUGGUCUAAGUAAAGGAGCCAACUUUCAGAAUGCAAAUCUAGAUGAAAGAAUGAGAGCUGAAAGAGGAUGCUUUUGUUAGAGUAAUCCAGAAUCUGUGAGGUUCCUUCACUGGUCUUAUGUGAUGGCCCUUCUCUCAGGACAUUAUAAAAAACAGAAAGUAUUGCACCAAAACUCUAAAUUGUUUCUAGAAUGCAUAGUGUAACAUCAUUCUUGUCUUUUCUUAGUUGAUUUCAAUGUAAAUCCCAAUACUACUUCUAACACUGUAAUGUCCCAUCAUCCAUUGCUCUUGUGGCAAAUAAAAAAAUCCUUAUUGGGAAUACAAAGAAAUACAGUUCAGCAUUGUAAGCAGUAUAAACCAACAAGGUAACCAAUAUACAGUUAGAAAUAAUGGCCAAAUCUCCCUCAAAUUGCACACUACAGACAAACAAAAAAUAAAAUAAAAGGACACAUUAAAUAAUGUAGUCUCAGAUACACUAUAUCAGGAAAAAAAAGGGCAUGGUUGGAACAUCAUUGAUCAUAGGUUUUCUCAAUUAGGGUUGACAUGGGUUAAACAAAAAAAUGUGGACAAUUGAUGAAUGCUUCAUUUGCUAGCCAUGCUCAGGACAUAUUGAGAUUAAAGGAAAAGAACAAAAAAUACCUUAUAAAAUAUACAAAACAAAAAAAGCACUCAUGCUGGCACCCGGUACGCUCUGUAAAGUGAUUGGCACAAGAAGGGCAUCCAUUCAUAGAAACCAUACAAAAACAGACAACUGGAGCCUGAGGCAGCCCUCUGGCUUGUCAUCUUCUGUCAAACUGUCCAACCCAUGCCAGCAUGGAAAACGGAUGUUAAAUGAUGAAUAUCAUUUACUGUCUUGUGAAAUGAAAUUUAGGGAUACUUUAUUAUUUUACAGUUUACAGUCAUAAUUGCAACUCCAAACAAAUUAGUUUAUAGCAAAAUUGAAGAAAUAGAAAGUAUUGCACCAAAAGUCUAAAUAAUUUCCAGAAUGCAUAGAGAAUAACAUCAUUCUUGUCUUUUAUUCUUUAGCUGGUUCCAUUUAUUGGUCUGUGUAUCUGCUGAAGAACUGCCUUGGAUGUGGAGUUUAGCUGAUCAAAUUGCUUCCAGUAUUCAUCUAUAUAUUUUCACCAAACUGUUAUAUAUGUUAGAAGAAUGUAAUCAAAUCAAUACUAGUUCUUAAAGAUAUAUGUGUGCACACACAUACACCUGAUUGUCACCAAGAUGAGGGAAUCAAAAAAUAUAUUCAUUAUGAACCAAAUCGUAAAUGUUCAAUCUUGGAUUUAAAUUUUUAUUCAUCUGAAGAAAACAUUUUUUUCAUGAUGCAACUGAUUUGUUCAUAAAAAAAAAAUGUGUCUGAAACAGAUGUAGUGAAGCUCAACCCAUCUGUGUUCUUAUUGUGUGUGUGAGUGUGUGUAUCAUCAUCAUUUAAUGUCCACUUUCCGUGCUGGCAUGGGUUGGGCAGUUUGACUGAGGACUGGAAAGCCAGAAGGCUGCACCAUGCUCCAAUCUGAUCUGGCAAGUUUUCUACAGCUGGAUGCCCUUCCUAAUGCCAACCACUCCGAGA